AUUGAACGCUGGCGGCAGGCUUAACACAUGCAAGUCGAGCGGAGAUGAGGUGCUUGCACCUUAUCUUAGCGGCGGACGGGUGAGUAAUGCUUAGGAAUCUGCCUAUUAGUGGGGGACAACAUUCCGACAGGAAUGCUAAUACCGCAUACGUCCUACGGGAGAAAGCAGGGGAUCUUCGGACCUUGCGCUAAUAGAUGAGCCUAAGUCGGAUUAGCUAGUUGGUGGGGUAAAGGCCUACCAAGGCGACGAUCUGUAGCGGGUCUGAGAGGAUGAUCCGCCACACUGGGACUGAGACACGGCCCAGACUCCUACGGGAGGCAGCAGUAGGGAAUAUUGGACAAUGGGGGAACCCCGAUCCAACCAAGCCGGGUGUGUGGAGAAAGCCUUAUGGUUGGAAAGCACUUGUAGCGAGGAGGAGGCUAGUGCGACUAAUACUCGUGGAUAGUGGACGUUACUCACAGAAUAAGCACCGGCUAACUCUGUGCCAGCCGCCGCAGUAA
rnacentral:rRNA from 1 species